UAGCCCUGCCAUUUUACUUUUGCUAAUGAGAUUAACCAAGUUCAUAUGUUCCCAGAUGAAAGAAACAUCAAUACAUGAUUAAUGUCCAGAAAGGUCCUCCCUCAACACGCUGUUGAAGGAUCCUUGGAAGAGUCCUUAAGGAUAAUGAAUGCUGAGCAUCACAGAUCUAAUAGAUGGCAGUGAAGUGAACCUAAAGUGAGCAUUACUGGUUCCCACAGAAGUUCCUGCUCCUGGGAUUCUGCUCUGAAAAUGGAUUUAUCUUGUUAUCUGAAACAACUAUCUGCUAAACAAAAAACAGGUUCUGAAUGCAGAUGAAGGAGUCACUCAUCCAAGGCUUCUCUGGCUGAACUGCACUGUUGUGUACUCAACAGAAAUCCAACCCAGAAGCUCACAGCUGCUCUUGAGGAGAUGACCAAAU